AAAUUGAAGAGUUUGAUCAUGGCUCAGAUUGAACGCUGGCGGCAGGCCUAACACAUGCAAGUCGAGCGGAAACGAGUUAUCUGAACCUUCGGGGAACGAUAGCGGCGUCGAGCGGCGGACGGGUGAGUAAUGCCUAGGAAAUUGCCCUGAUGUGGGGGAUAACCAUUGGAAACGAUGGCUAAUACCGCAUGAUGCCUACGGGCCAAAGAGGGGGACCUUAGGGCCUCUCGCGUCAGGAUAUGCCUAGGUGGGAUUAGCUAGUUGGUGAGGUAAGGGCUCACCAAGGCAACGAUCCCUAGCUGGUCUGAGAGGAUGAUCAGCCACACUGGAACUGAGACACGGUCCAGACUCCUACGGGAGGCAGCAGUGGGGAAUAUUGCACAAUGGGCGCAAGCCUGAUGCAGCCAUGCCGCGUGUAUGAAGAAGGCCUUCGGGUUGUAAAGUACUUUCAGUCGUGAGGAAGGCGUUGUAGUUAAUAGCUGCAUCGUUUGACGUUAGCGACAGAAGAAGCACCGGCUAACUCCGUGCCAGCAGCCGCGGUAAUACGGAGGGUGCGAGCGUUAAUCGGAAUUACUGGGCGUAAAGCGCAUGCAGGUGGUUUGUUAAGUCAGAUG
rnacentral:rRNA from 1 species